rnacentral:tRNA from 1 species
UGUGUCUAUGGCAGAGAUGGUCAAUGCAGCGGUCUGUAAAACCGCCCCGAAAGGUUACUGGUUCGAGUCCAGUUAGGCACACCAA